AACGGGGAAGACUUUGCUUGCCAAAGCUGUGGCUAAUUCGACAUCAGCAACCUUUUUGCGUGUUGUUGGUAGUGAGUUGAUUCAGAAAUACUUGGGUGAUGGUCCUAAGUUAGUAAGAGAGCUGUUUAGGGUGGCCGAUGAUCUCUCACCAUCAAUAGUUUUCAUUGAUGAAAUAGAUGCUAUUGGUACCAAGAGAUAUGAUGCUCAUUCAGGUGGAGAACGUGAAAUACAGAGGACCAUGUUGGAACUGCUAAACCAGUUGGAUGGUUUUGAUUCAAGAGGUGAUGUCAAGGUUAUUCUAGCAACGAACAAAAUUGAAACUCUUGAUCCUGCACUUCUUCGUCCUGGUCGGAUUGAUAGGAAAAUAGAAUUUCCACUUCCAGAUAUUAAAACAAGACGACGCAUUUUCCAGAUACAUACAUCCAGAAUGACAUUGUCAGCUGAUGUUAACCUGGAAGAGUUUGUUAUGACUAAGGAUGAGUUUUCUGGGGCUGAUAUCAAGGCUAUCUGUACUGAAGCUGGCUUGCUUGCUCUAAGAGAGCGAAGAAUGAAGGUAACUCACACAGAUUUCAAGAAGGCCAAGGAAAAAGUAAUGUUCAAGAAAAAAGAAGGGGUACCGGAGGGACUCUAUAUGUGAGAAGAUCAUGUAAUUCGUUCUGCUGGUCUUCGUGUCAGAUAAGAGGGGUUUGAUGCUUACGGCCCCUUUGA
rnacentral:misc_RNA from 1 species